ensembl:snoRNA U8 U8 small nucleolar RNA
UCGUCAGUGAGGUACAUCCUUACCUGUUACUCCUCCGGGAGUAUCAGAGCAUGAUGAAUGGAGAUAUAUGAGAUAUGAUUAAUAUCUCUCUCUUUUGGAGACCGCAACUCUCCUCAAGGGCCAUUCUGAU